rnacentral:lncRNA from 1 species
UGUUCGCGUCAGGAAUUUCCGUCGGGGAUGUUUCCUGGCCGACGAGCACACAGCUCCCCGGGAGGUUGGCGCUGGUUGAGGGCUGCUGUCGGGCUUCUGCUUCACUGUCGGGCUUUGUCGGGCAAGUCUCGUCGGGCAAGUCUUGUCGGGCAAGACUCUUCGGGCAAGGCUGAAAGAGAAGGACAGAGUUAACUUUGAGAGGUGCCUUUGUGGGGCCUUAGGUGUAGGCCUUGAUGCUCACAAUCAAGGUUAACUUUUAGGUACUCAGGCGUGCCACUGCCAUCUUCAGCAUGGCAGAUGUAAAAUGGAUGUCGAGUUUUAGUUGUAUAUAUGUAUAUAUCCGAGAAACCGUGUUAGUUAUAACAGGUGCCUUUGUGGGGCCUUAGGUGUAGGCCUUGAGGCUUCCCAUAAAUAACUAAACCAGUGCUCGAACACAUCAUAUUUGUUCUCGUGAUUGCAG